rnacentral:pre_miRNA from 1 species
GGAAGUUAAAAAAUUGUUUCUUAACUUUAACUAAAAAAGCUAAGAACCGGUUUUUAAAUAAGGAUUUUAAGAACCGGUUCUUAACUUUUUUAGUUAAAAGUUAAGAAACAGUUUUUUAACUUCC